rnacentral:SRP_RNA from 1 species
GCCGGGUGCGGUGGCAUGUGCCUGUAAUCCAAGUCACUGGGAGGCUGAGGUUGGUGGAUCAAGUGAGCUGAGGAGCUCUGGGCUGCAGCACACUAUGUGAACGGGUGUCCACGCUAAGUUCGGUAUCGAUAUGGUGUUCCAGGGGGAGCCCGGGACCACCAGGUUGUCUAAGGAGGGGUGAACCGGCCCAGGUCGGAAACGAAGCAGGUCAAAUCCCCCGUGCUGUCCAGUAGUUGGGAUAAUACCUGUGAGUAGAUGCUGCAGUGCAGCCUUGGCAAAACAUCGAGACCUAAUCUUUU